rnacentral:rRNA from 1 species
CACCGCGGUUAUACGAGAGGCCCAAGUCGAUAGUUUACGGCGUAAAGAGUGGUUAGAAGAAAUACAUAACUAAAGCCGAACACCCUCAAAGCUGUUAUACGCAUCCGAAGGUGAGAAGCCCACCCACGAAAGUGGCUUUACAACUUUGAAUCCACGAAAGCUAUGGUACAAACUGGGAUUAGAUACCCCACUAUGCUUAGCCCUAAACAUUGACAACAACAUACACCUGUUGUCCGCCUGGGAACUACGAGCAUCAGCUUGAAACCCAAAGGACUUGGCGGUGCUUUAGAUCCACCUAGAGGAGCCUGUUCUAGAACCGAUAACCCCCGUUCAACCUCACCCUUCUUUGUUUCCCCCGCCUAUAUACCGCCGUCGUCAGCUUACCCUGUGAAGGUCUCAUAGUAAGCAAAAUUGGUACAACCCUAAACGCCAGGUCGAGGUGUAGCGUAUGGAAGGGGAAGAAAUGGGCUACAUUCUCUAAUACAGAGAAAACGAAUGAUGUACUGAAAUACACGUCUGAAGGAGGAUUUAGCAGUAAGCAGGAAAUAGAGCGUCCCGCUGAAAUUGGCCCUGAAGCGCGCACACACCGCCCGUCACUCUCCCCAAACUAAUUGAAUUAAGUUAAAUAAAACCCCAUCACAGUGAAGGGGAGGCAAGUCGUAACAUGGUAAGUG